UGACUGUGCCACAGGUGCCGCGCAGGGCACCGUGGUCUCAGCUCUGGGCAUCAAAACUCCGGCUCUGGAAACUAAGUCUUCCGAGCUGCUCUCAGCCCUGUACACCGAGGGCCCCGGGCCAGAGAGCGGAGCCCUGGGGUCGUCCGAAGAGCGGGGCCCCGAGACCCCCGGGUCAGCGAAGUCCCAGGGCCUGCCGCAGAGCAGGACGCUGAGGUCCCCAGGCCAGGAGGCAAGGUCUCCGUGCCCUCUGCAGAGCAGGGCGCGGAGACCCCUGAGCAAGAGAGCGAAGUCCUUGGGCCAUCAGCGGGGCUAGACGCAGAACGCCCCGGGCCGUCUGCAGCUGGGGCUUUUGAGAGUCUCCGGCCCGGCAACCACGACCCCAAGCCGUCUUAAAGCGCGAAGCACGGGGUUCCUGAAGCAGUCUCCUCUUCCGGAUCCCGAGACCUUCUCCUCGGGGUCAGAUUCCGAAGGCCCCCUGCAGCAUUUUCUACUGGGCCCGAAGACCCCCCCCCCCGGCAGGCCCCCGAGGAGCCCGUUCAUGGAGACGCCCAUCGAACGAGAAAUCCGCCGCAGCUGCGAACGCGAGGAGAGCCUGCGCCGGAGCCGAGGCCUGAGCCCUGGCGGUGCAGGCCGAGAACUCGUCGAGCUGCGCGUGCGGUCUGUGCUCAGCCUGCCCAGCCCCGGCCCCGCGCUCCCGCGCGCCCUGGAGCGCGCGCGGGCGGGCGCGCAGAUGCAGCGAGACAUCGAGCGGGAGGCCCACCGUCAGGCGGCGCUGGCGCGCCCCGCAGCCCCAGAGCUGUGCGCCCGGCCGCCGCCGCCGCCGCCGCUGGGCGAGCUCAAGCGAUUCUUUGAGGCCGCCGGGGGACGCGGCUCCUCGUCGGCGGCUGAAGGCGGCGCGGACCCGCAGGGGCUGCCCGAUCCUGGAGGUCGGCCGCGCUUGGCCGUGCAGGGUCGGUGCCCGGUGCUGGCCCGCGCACCGCCGCGGGUCGCGCCGUCGCUGCUGGAGCAGGAGGUGUCCGAGGUGCGUGAGCGCGAGCGGGAGCUGCAGCGCCAGCGGCUCAGCGUCUAUGGCACCGCCGAGUUCAAGGAGCCCGCGCCGAGCCUCACGGGUUGCUCCCUCCUUCAGAAUGGAGGCUUCGAUGGGAAGCAGGGUAAACGCCUGUGUGUUUAAGGGGCGCGGCUGGCCUCCCUGGUCCUGGCCGCCUCCAGCUGGUGACAGGAGGGGCAACCCCGGCUGAGCACCCCUUCCCCCGCAGCGAGCAGGGGCGACGGAAAGCUGGCGGUGACCUGGCCUCCCCGCAGAAAGGCGUCUGAGAGCGGCUUGGAGCAGGAGGAGCGGAAGCCUUGAGGUUCCAGCAGGCUGGGACCCCCUGCCAGAGGUAAAAUGCAUAUCAGAGGAAACUGGUAGGGGUGCCCAGGAGUGCUCUCGGAAUCCACUGAAGGCCUGGAAGAGGGCCAGCCGUCUGCGCUGGGGAAGAUGAAAUCGACCAGCUCCUCCUUGAACCUGACUGUGAAAUUGACCAGUCUCUUCUAUAAAACUGUUAGUCCCCACUGGGAAACACUACCACUCUCAAACCGCCAGUGAAACUGUUCCGCCCUUCUCCUAACUGCAAACCCAACUGGCCUCUCCCUCUGGCCUUUGCGAUUAGAGGGCCAGGGUCUCCGCCUCGGCUACCCUCACUCCCCAAUAAAGCCCCUUCUUUCUGGGCAGUUCAGGCUGUUUUCCUCUGGGUCCCUUCGUCUGGGCUGGGGCGGGAGCGCGCCUGG